AACGUAGGAGACAAACGUUAUCCGGAGUUACUGGGCGUAAAGGGCGUGUAGGUGGUUGCGUAAGUCUAGCGUGAAAUAUCUCGGCUUAACCGAGGCAGGUCGUCGGAUACUGCGUAACUGGAGGACGGUAGAGGCGUGUGGAAUUUCGGGUGUAGUGGUGAAAUGCGUAGAGAUCCGGAGGAACACCAGUGGCGAAGGCGACACGCUGGGCCGUACCUGACACUGAUGCGCGACAGCAUGGGGAGCAAACAGG
rnacentral:rRNA from 1 species